ensembl:lncRNA
CUGUAGGUGACUCAUCAGCUGUUUGUUAUUAGGCAUACAUUGUAUAUUAAUUACCCUCAGUUUGAAGACCUAGUGUGCAGUUGUGAGUCAAGCUGAUGCUUUGAAAUGAGGGUGUUUAGCAGGGAAAAUGGGUGUGCGGUGAUGUGGUGAGAUGACAAAAGGCUUUGAUUCUUCCAUGGCUCGGGGAAUAGCUGCAGCACAGUAUGUUGAACUCACGGGGAAAAAAAAGUAUCCCGAGAAUCCAAUAAGAAUAUUCAACUAACUGCUUUUAUAGACAGGCCUGACUCAGAAUGAAUGUUCAAGCCUUAAAAGAGUGGGUUGAGCAGCGCUAUCGGAAAGAUUCUUUUCAUGUGAAUCACAAUUGAAUAAUUUGAAUAACUGACUCAAAAUUUGCUGCCUGUACAAGCAGGAAGGCAGGACGUGCCACUGCCUGAAUCUCCCUCUGUGGGAUGCAUCUUCCCAUCUCCUCUUUCCACCCUCCAAGCAUUUUACUUCCUUCCUACGUGGAAGACCACAUGAAAGGUUCAGCAGUUUGGAAGAUGAAUGAUACUGGAAGAUGCUCACUAGGAGAUGCUCUUCUCUCAACCAUCUCUUCCUUUGCUCACCCUGGACCACAGACAGUGGGUUUCUCUAAAAGCAAUCUUCCCAGCAGCUGGACAUGCCAACCCAUGCUUCACAGGCUCACGUGGAAGACAGAUCCUGCCUUCCCAAGGUUUGGCUGCUUGCUCUAAGAACCAAUCCUUGCAGAGAAUGCUGGGCACCCUCAGCCUCCUCCCAUCCUAUGGCACUUUAAAAACAAAACCCAAAAACAUGAUAUGUGUUUCUAAAAAAAUGAGGUAGAAUCAGUUUUGUGCCAUGAAGAGGAGGCUGGCAGAAGGAAGCAAGCAAGUACACAAAGCAAGCUCAGAUGGUUUCAGGUUCAACUUCAGCUUUGAAAUUUAUGGCUAUAGACCUCAUAAAGAUCCGUGUGACCAUCAUUCUGAAAACUUCUUGUUCAGUUCUGAUUUAUAGCUUGUGUAAAUCCAAGCAAAACAGUGCAGCAAAAGAAAUUCGUGGGAUAAUUUACAGCUUCAGUUUAGAUUAGGCUUUUAGUAGUUAUUUACCUUCAUACUUUAGAUAAAGAUUUGUGAGUAGCCAAUUACCCAAAGCAGCAUGAGCAGCUUUGACAGCUGACUCCAAUGCAGGAGAUACCCUUAGAAAGUGCUGCUUUAUAUCCUAAUAGAAAAUGCUACAGUUAAAAACAGAAACCGGAGUCUAUACCCUGAAUGUUAAAAUACUGGGGGGAAGAACAUCAUAAUCACUCACAUGGAACAAAGUGUUUGAGGAUAAAAGCUCCUGAAAAGGAGAUGGAGAGAUCAUUACUGCACGUUUAUAUAAAGCCAGGGAUGCUCUUUUAGGUGUUCUUUGAAUUUUAUUUUUUUAGCUGUACCAAUUUAUACCUGAAAAAAACAUCCCUAAAGAGUUCAUUAAACCUUUGUCUCAGUACUGCUUUGCUUUGGGACUUGUUUGUUGAUGUGAAAGACUGACUAUUUUCUUCAUGCAAAAUGGUACCUGGGAUUUUAAAACUGGGUGUGUCGUGUUGAUGUUACCUUCACUCAUUCUCCAUGUCUGCUUACAGCCUGGGCUCCUGAGCAGGGCUUUGCUCCCUGUUGCAAGGGCCUUUUGUUGCCUUUGUUAAGUCACCGUAAAGUCAGAUGAAUCAUUUACAUUGAGUUUUGAUUGAUUUCAUGUCUUUUUUUUUUUUGGUUUGAAAGGGAGUGAGGAACCAACUGCAGUUCCUCGUUAGAAUUCAUUUCUUCUUAAUUCCUGAAACUUCUUUGAAAGCAGUUCAGACUCAGAAUGCUAGAUCUCAAACACAAGCCGUGUUGAUCAGAUGCCUCAGUCACAAGCUAUGUAUCCUCCUGGGUGAGCAUAAUUUUGCAAUUGCCUUGUGGCUUCUGCCCAAACAGGGAUGAACUAGGAAGCUACUGUCUAAAACAGCAGUACUCAAAUAUUACUUUUAGGUAAAAUGGAAAAAGGCUUGGCAUCACUAUAUGACAGACUUCACAAACUGAACAGAAAAGGGGCACAAGACCCUACUCUUAGAAAGACAUGAAUUUCCUAGGUACAAGUCAUCACGUUCCUCUAGCUCCUCUACCUCUCCAUUUGGACUGAUGCCCAACACGUUGCUGCCACAAAGAGCCAUCUCAGCCUGGAGCAGUUAAAGAAAAUAAAAGGUUCAAAGUCUUUUGAGAUUCA